AAUUUUGGACAAUGGGGGAAACCCUGACGCAGCAACGCCGCGUGAGCGAUGAAGGCCUUCGGGUCGUAAAGCUCUGUCUUCUCUGACGAUAAUGACGGUAAGAGAAGAGGAAGCCACGGCUAACUACGUGCCAGCAGCCGCGGUAAUACGUAGGUGGCGAGCGUUGUCCGGAAUUACUGGGCGUAAAGGAUGCGUAGGUGGAUACUUAAGUGGGAUGUGAAAUCCCCGGGCUCAACCCGGGAACUGCAUUCCAAACUGGGUAUCUAGAGUGCAGGAGAGGAAAGCGGAAUUCCUAGUGUAGCGGUGAAAUGCGUAGAUAUUAGGAGGAACACCAGUGGCGAAGGCGGCUUUCUGGACGAUAACUGACGCUGAGGCGCGAAAGCGUGGGGAGCAAACAGG
rnacentral:rRNA from 1 species